AUUACCUCUUGAAAUGCUUCAUGAUCAUAUAAUUGGGACUAAGUAGAAAGUAAAUGCACCUAAGUUGAAUGGUUGCUGCUCACCAACUACAUAAUUAUUGUCAGGGAGGUUAAAAUACAGAAUGUCUGUCAACUUUAAAAGAAGUACACAUGGAGGGCAGUGGUGGGGAAGAUGGAAAUCACAGCUGGAGGUAAUGAUUACUCUGAGUGUCUUGCUACAGCAAACAUAGCAUUUAGAAAUUCAUGAACAUUCCUUUUAAAUGUUGAAAACUCUUUGCAAAACAAACCACACAUUAACUAAAGCACUGAUGACUGCACUGCCUACACACUAAGCCACCCAUAAUUUUGGGAAAGGUUAUUUCUAUGCAACUUCAAAAGAAACUACCAUGAAUCUUUUGUUUCAGAAAUUGGCUUUGGUGACAAAUAAGUUUGAGAUAAAUAAUACAUCUAGUUCUGCUUCUCUGACAUUUAAUAUGCAGUGCCAUGCCACAUAAUUUUCUUGUUUACUUUUUAAAUUUAAGUGUAAUAUAUAGCCAAGAUUAUAUAUCCUUUCCAGUAUAUAUCCAAUAUAUAAAAAUGUGGUCAUACAUUGCUAAAUAAUGCACAGUUCAUGACUGAUACUUUCUGGAGUCUCUCAUUAAACGUUAAUCGCCCCAGACUCGCUGUUUUCAAAUCAAUUUGGGUUAAUAAGCCCCUGUUUAUGGGAGAAUAAUUAACCCUCUAGUUUAUUCAAUAAGAAAGUAGGUUUUCUCACAUCCGUUCCUGUCCACAUGCUCCUCUGCUGUUCUGGCUGCUACCAGGAGUAGCUUUCACUGUACACUCCGUUGUCCCCCUGUAACACAGGAAGGCAUCCUCCUAAGCUGGCAGUAACUGAAGGACAAAGAUGAACAAACCACAAUUUCUUUCAUUUUCCCAACUCCUGAUCUGGUGGCAAUACCUCACACAAGCCCUUGGACUUUACUUCUGAGUUAUUUAUUACUGUGACUGAUUCUGCACAUAAUUUUGGAUUCCAUCUUUCCCAUGAUUCUUAGUUGUCACCAUUGCAACACAUCUGAAAAUGCUCUAUGUUGAAUUCUACUAAAAACAGAUAUAGAAAACACACUCGCACACAUACAGCAAAUUGCCUAAAAAUUCAAGAGAAUACGGUCUCAUGGCUAAACAUCUGGCUUAUUGCUGGGAAAAAGGCAAAGGAACAACCAAUACUUUUAUGAAUAAAAGGAUUUUAACAGAAGAUACCUUUAGAACAUUUUUUUUCCACUAAAUGAUAAUGCUGUCAACAAUUCACUCAUGUACAGAGAAAAGAGUGUUCAUGGAUGGAGACACCUGCUACUCCAAGAGCUGAGGGUAUCUGCGUCUUGGCCCAUCUGUAACCCAUUCCCAACAGUCAAGUCUGGAUGCUAUGCCUUAGGGAUUAUUACCAGGACUGGCUUCAUUUAAAGUUUCUAAAAGAAACCUGAAAGAUGAAGUGCCCCAUAAAAUCUUCAAGUUCACAGAUGACACUAAGCUUCUCUGGGUAAUUAAGUGUCAAGCUGAUAAGAAUAAACUGCAGAAAAAUCUUUCUUGCUUGUGUGUGAGGUCAGGACACAGAAGAUGAACAGCACUAUGGGAGUGUGAAUAUGGUAGAAUAAGAAAAAAUAACCAUAUUUAUAUCAUGAUGACUCUUGAGCAUCAGUGAUGACACAUAAUAAAGAUUUGUGAGUCAUUAUUAUCUUCUCUUUCUGGAGAGCUCCACCUGAUGUCUAUGGUGGCAAACACAGUUGCUAUUAUUCUGUGAAUCAUCAGAGAUGCUGCUGCAAAUAUAGCAGAAACAUCAGUAAUUCAAACACUUUCGUAGGUGUUAUUUUGUUUAAUUCUCAAAACAAUACUGUAAGAUGACUUCUAGUGCCUUUUACAAAUGAGGAAAGUGAGAGUUACGAAGUGACUUAUCCUUGCAUCAAAGCAUAGGACUCUGCAAUUGGUUCUGGUUGCUGUACCAAAAGAAAGUGAAUUGAAAAAUAUUCAUAAAUGGACAUAUAAGUAAGGACAAGAACCAAAGAGAGGAAGAGAUUUUUAGAAGAGCAUAUACUUUAUCCUUUUUUAAAAAGAAGAAAUCCUUGAUCUGGAAAAAAAUGAUUUGAAUACUGAAUGUAAUAUGGCUUGAAUAAAGUUCUAGAAUUCUAGAUUUAA